AGCGAACGCUGGCGGCAGGCCUAACACAUGCAAGUCGAGCGCCCCGCAAGGGAGGCGGCAGACGGGUGAGUAACACGUGGGAACGUACCCUUCGGUUCGGGAAUAGCCCGGGGAAACGUCGAGUAAUACCGAAUACGUCCGUAAGGAGAAAGAUUUAUCGCCGAAGGAUCGGCCCGCGUCUGAUUAGCUUGUUGGUGAGGUAACGGCUCACCAAGGCUACGAUCAGUAGCUGGUCUGAGAGGAUGAUCAGCCACACUGGGACGUGAGACACGGCCCAGACUCCUACGGGAGGCAGCAGUGGGGAAGUAUUGGACAAUGGGCGGAAAGCCUGAUCCAGCCAUGCCGCGUGAGUGAUGAAGGCCC
rnacentral:rRNA from 1 species